UACAGAGGUCUCAAGCGUUGUUCGGAUUCAUUGGGCGUAAAGGGUGCGUAGGCGGCGUGGUAAGUCGGAUGUGAAAUCUCGGAGCUUAACUCCGAAACUGCAUUCGAUACUGCCGUGCUUGAGGACUGGAGAGGAGACUGGAAUUUACGGUGUAGCGGUGAAAUGCGUAGAUAUCGUAAGGAAGACCAGUGGCGAAGGCGAGUCUCUGGACAGUUACUGACACUGAGGCACGAAGGCCAGGGGAGCAAACGGG
rnacentral:rRNA from 1 species